GGACGUGGGGGAAAUCUGGCUGCAACAUCUGUCAGCCCAUUGAUCGCCAGGGUUGAUUCAGCUGAUCUGGCUGGCUAGGCUGGUGUCCCCUUCCUCCCUUUCCGCUCUGUGUGCGUCCCUCCAGAGGCUGCACUGUCGGUCAAAGAGGAUGACCUUCUCCAGAUAGGGGAGGACCAGCCAAGGGUAUACGAAUAGCUGAUCUCCCCUGCUAGAACCUCCAAAUAAGCUCUCAAGCUUCAAAUGAGUAACAAAAACCCCAGGGCCUCAUUUAAAGUACAGGGCCAGUUU
rnacentral:snRNA from 1 species